rnacentral:rRNA from 1 species
UACGGGGGGUGCGAGCGUUGUCCGGAAUUACUGGGCGUAAAGGGCGCGUAGGCGGCCAUCUAAGUCAGACGUGAAAUCCCCCGGCUUAACCUGGGAACUGCGUCUGAUACUGGACGGCUUGAGUAUGGGAGAGGGAUGUAGAAUUCCAGGUGUAGCGGUGAAAUGCGUAGAUAUCUGGAGGAAUACCGGUGGCGAAGGCGGCAUCCUGGACCAUUACUGACGCUGAGGCGCGAAAGCUAGGGGAGCAAACGGG